rnacentral:hammerhead_ribozyme from 1 species
AUCAAUCUGACGAGUCCCAAAUAAGACGUAAGGCGCGUCUUGGAU